AGCAGCCGCGGUAAUUCCAGCUCCAAUAGCGUAUAUUAAAGUUGUUGCAGUUAAAAAGCUCGUAGUUGAAUUUCGGGAUCGACGGGUCGGUCGCGCCUCUGGUGUGUACUGGCCCUGUCGGUUUCUCCCUUCUGACGAACCACGAUGUCAUUAAUUUGGUGUCGUGGGAAAUCAGGACUGUUACUUUGAAAAAAUUAGAGUGUUUAAAGCAGGCAUUCGCUUGAAUACAUUAGCAUGGAAUAAUGAAAUAGGACGUUUGAUCUUAUUUUGUUGGUUUCUAAGAUCGACGUAAUGAUUAAUAGGGAUAGUUGGGGGCAUUAGUAUUCAAUUGUCAGAGGUGAAAUUCUUGGAUUUAUUGAAGACUAACUACUGCGAAAGCAUUUGCCAAGGAUGUUUUCAUUAAUCAAGAACGAAAGUUAGGGGAUCGAAGACGAUCAGAUACCGUCGUAGUCUUAACCAUAAACUAUGCCGACUAGGGAUCGGAUGAUGUUAAUUUUUAAUGACU
rnacentral:rRNA from 1 species